rnacentral:rRNA from 1 species
ACCUACGGGGGGCAGCAGUGGGGGAUAUUGCACAAUGGGGGGAACCCUGAUGCAGCGACGCCGCGUGGGUGAAGAAGCGCCUCGGCGCGUAAAGCCCUGUCAGCAGGGAAGAAAAUGACGGUACCUGAAGAAGAAGCCCCGGCUAACUACGUGCCAGCAGCCGCGGUAAUACGUAGGUGGCAAGCGUUGUCCGGAUUUACUGGGUGUAAAGGGCGUGUAGCCGGGCUGACAAGUCAGAUGUGAAAUCCGGGGGCUCAACCCCCGAACUGCAUUUGAAACUGUUGGUCUUGAGUAUCGGAGAGGCA